rnacentral:rRNA from 1 species
CAGCCGCCGCGGUAAUACGAGGGGGGCAAGCGUUGUUCGGAAUUAUUGGGCGUGAAGGGUGCGUAGGCGGUUCAGCAAGUCUCGUGUGAAAUCUUCGGGCUCAACCCGAAGUCUGCACUGGAAACUACUGGGCUUGAGUAAUGGAGAGAAAAGUGGAAUUCCUAGUGUAGCGGUGAAAUGCGUAGAGAUUAGGAGGAACACCGGUGGCGAAGGCGGCUUUUUGGCCUGUAACUGACACUGAGGCGCGAAAGCGUGGGGAGCAAACAGGAUUAGAUACCCCAGUAGUCCCUGUCUCUUAUAC